rnacentral:rRNA from 1 species
GCCCAUUGUGCAAUAUUCCCCACUGCUGCCUCCCGUAAGAGUCUGGGCCGUGUCUCAGUCCCAGUGUGGCCGGUCGCCCUCUCAGGCCGGCUACCCGUCGUCGCCUUGGUGAGCCACUACCUCACCAACAAGCUGAUAGGCCGCGGGCUCAUCCUGCACCGCCGGAGCUUUACACCAUCCACCAUGCGAUGGACAGUCAUAUCCGGUAUUAGACCCCGUUUCCAGGGCUUGUCCCAGAGUGCAGGGCAGAUUGCCCACGUGUUACUCACCCGUUCGCCACUAAUCCCCGCCCGAAAGCGGUUCAUCGUUCGACUUGCAUGUGUUAAGCACGCCGCCAGCGUUCGUCCUGAGCCAGGAUCAAACU